ACGGGGUGCAGCAGGCGCGAAAACUUUGCAAUGCGGGAAACCGUGACAAGGGAACUCCGAGUGCCCGUAAAUUCGGGCUGUCCAUCAGUGUAAAUAACUGGUGAAGAAAGGGCCGGGCAAGACCGGUGCCAGCCGCCGCGGUAAUACCGGCGGCUCGAGUGGUGGCCACUAUUACUGGGCUUAAAGCGUCCGUAGCUGGUCUGUUAAGUCUCUGGGGAAAUCUACCGGCUUAACCGGUAGGCGUCUCAGGGAUACUGGCAGACUAGGGACCGGGAGAGGUGAGGGGUACUCUAGGGGUAGGAGUGAAAUCCUGUAAUCCUUGGGGGACCACCUGUGGCGAAGGCGCCUCACCAGAACGGCUCCGACAGUGAGGGACGAAAGCUGGGGGAGCAAACCGGAUUAGAUACCCGGGUAGUCCCAGCCGUAAACGAUGCGCGUUAGGUGUAUCGGUGACCACGAGUCACCGAGGUGCCGAAGAGAAAUCGUGAAACGUGCCGCCUGGGAAGUACGGUCGCAAGGCUGAAACUUAAAGGAAUUGGCGGGGGAGCAC
rnacentral:rRNA from 1 species